CUGAGCUCGAGGCCAGCCUGGUCUACAUAGCGAGGUCCAGACCUGCAGUAACUGUUCCGCCCCCAGGUGAAGUCUUCCUUGUUCCGCUUUGAGGUACAGCGGGCUUCCAGCCCCACGGGAAUUGUGAUGUAUGCUAGCUCCUCCAGCUGUGCCGGACGGUCCACUGUGACCCGGGUCUCUGUGCACCGUUGGGUCCCUGCCUUUGUGCAGUAUGUAGCCAGGUAGGGACACAGACUUCAAGGUUCUCGCCAAGAAGCCCUGGUUGGUGUGGAGAACUCACUGUAUAAACCAUUUUGGCCUCAAACUAACAGAGAUCCCCCUGCCUCUGCCUCCUGAGUGCUGGGAUUAAAGAUGUGCACUACCAUGCCCAACAGUUGUAAUCUUUGGCAGUGGAAAUGUCCAUUUUUGUCUUCUUAUGAUUAUCUUCAUGUAAUUUUUUGCA